CCCCAUCAUUCUGGGGACACUGAGCUGGUGGGAUUGAACCAUGGCCUGGGUUCCUCUUCUCCUCGUGGUGCUCGCCCACAGCACAGGUUCCCUGGUCCAGGCAGCGCUGAAUCAGCCGUCCUCGCUGUCGGCCAACGUGGGAGAGACUGUCAAGAUCACCUGCUCUGGUAGCAGCUACAGCUAUGGCUGGUAUCAGCAGAAGGUCCCUGGCAGUGGCCCUGUCACUGUGAUCUAUCUUAAUGAUAGGAGACCCUCGGGCAUCCCUUUGCGAUUCUCCGGAUCCCAGUCCGGCUCCACGGCCACGUUAACCAUCACUGGGGUCCAGGCCGAGGACGAGGCUGUCUAUUUCUAUGGUGGUGAGGACAGCAGUGCUGCUCAGGACUGAGGCACACUGCAGGAU